rnacentral:tRNA from 2 species
GGUUCUAUAGUGUAGUUGGUUAUCACAUCGGAUUCUGAUUCCGGGGACCUGAGUUCGAAUCUCGGUAGGACCUG